UUGUUCUCUAUAGUGAAGAGUCUGUUUCUUGGUUUCCCACGGUCUCUCUUUUUUCCCCUGGGCUGCAAGAAGCCCAGGACAUCAGCAGGCAUUAGGUCUUACAUGGGGGCUAAUUGUUGCCCAGUUCAGUGGACGUCUCAGAGCGAUUUUGGGGCGGUUGGCUCUCUCCACCCUUGAGGCUAGAUUGUUGAGCAGGGACCCUAACUCUACCGGUCUCGAGGGCCCCAGCUCCAAAUGGAGUGUGUGUACUUGGUAUGCAAGCGCCGGUCAGAUCAGGGUAGCCAGGGAUUUGUACAGAGCAAGGGUCCUGUGAAGCCAGGUCACAAGAGCAGACCACUGGAAGUACCUGGCAUCUGCCUAAUUCCAGGCCUUAACCUAUUCAAAGGCUGGUACUUUCCCUAAAGGCAGGUCUAGAGAAAGCUGGAAUGCUUUAUCAGGGCAGGCUGGCUGGGAUGGCCGGGGGCUCUCUCAUAAGACACACCUGGGAGCCUUGAUUACUGGGGAAUCCCAGGAUCCCAUUAGGCAGCCGGACCAAGAAGGGGCUGACAGUUUAAGAUAGAGCCUCAAGUAUUUUUAGCGGGUGGGUGAGCUCUCUCUAUCCUGUAGGUAACAGGUAUUUGGGGACCAGCUUAAGUUCCACAGCCAUGAGGGCCCCAAUAGCUAAGGGUGGCUAAUAGGCUGCUGAUACGGGCUUCACAGGGCAGGGUAACAAGGGACCUGGAACAGGGUGAGUUGGGCAAGGCCAGGUCGCAGGAAGGUGCUCUUGGAGGGGCCUGGUGUAUAUCAGUUUGCACUUCCCUUCCCACUGAAGGCAGGGUUGGAGGAAUCUUGCUUGGGCAAGCUUGGGUCAGAUGGCCGGAGUUCCCUCCAGCACAGACACCUGGGAACAUUCAUUAAUGGAGAAGCCUGAGGCCCUAAUCAGUAGUUAGACCAAAUAGGGACUAUCAUCAGUUUAAGCUGAAAGCCUCAGAAAGAUUUUCAGGUAGUAGGCUCUCUCUACGCUGGAGGCUAGGAGGGGUUUGGGUACCUGUUUGAGCUCCACAAGGCCCUGACAGACAAGGACUGGGACUGGCUGACAGCAUUUGGACUGCGCACGCACAUGCAGGCUGCAAAGGCAGAUCUGGAAGACUCCGUAUUGCCUUACUAUGGCUGGGUCCAGAAGCUGGCUGAGGUGUAUGCUAAUAAGAAACAUGUGGGAGUCCUGAUUGCUGCAGAAGCCUGGGACCUCAGCAGACAAGAGUGAGCGAGCACAACUAGCGGAAGAGCAGGGAGAGAGAAAAGGAGAGACACAGAA